rnacentral:tRNA from 1 species
GCGCCGGGAGCACGGCUGGUCAGUGCAGCAGUGACGGUCACGGGUUCAAUUCCCGUCCGGCGCACCA